rnacentral:ncRNA from 1 species
UCCCGUCUACUCCACAACAAUAGGCGCUGAUCCGCUAAAAUAAAGGAGGAUAAACCCGUCCGACUCACGGUGCGGCAGUGUGGAGACCUGUCGUAAUGCUUCCGCAAUUUUGCUUUGCGGAACGCGAGAAUGCACGCGAAAGGCUCGGUGCAUUUCGAGUCAAAACAGUAUGGCA